rnacentral:lncRNA from 1 species
GUUAAAGGUGUGGCACUUCCCGCUUCUCUCUCUCUCUCUCUUUCCUGCUCCGCCGCGGUGAGACGUACUUGCUUCUCCUCACCUUCUACCGUGAUUCUGGACUAGACAGAAGACUACAGUUCAAUAAGAAGGAAACACAUUCAUUUUCAGUAUUGUUAAUAAAGAAGCUUACCUAAAAGAAGGAAAUCAAAACAAGAUAAUCUACACUGCAACUAGGGGAGGCUAUUGAAUGUGAUGGUCCCCUCAGAUGCCUAGAGGAAGAUGAACAAUGGUAAUCAGAUAUCCUAAAGUUAUCUUUAGGGCACUGGCAAAAUAGCAGCAAUGCCUGGUGGAAGCUGACUUUGUGCAUACACAUGAGAGCCCACAGAAAACUUCAAACUUCAUGGAAAUAAAACCUUCAGCUGCAGCUAAGAAUUUGGAGGUUACUGAAGGAGGUUACUUUUUCAAGAGCAGAAGUAAGGAUUCCACUGAAUUUGCUCACCAAAGAUAAGUCAGCAAAGAAAACUUACUGAAGAAUACAGGAACAUAAAUCUUAAGCAGGCUUACAUAAGGAAGGGAAGUGGUUGAAUCUGAGACAGCAUAUCAGCUCCUGCUUUCCAGACAAACUUCCUGGGUCUUGGGAAGAAGAAAGCCUCAGACUAAGAACUCUCUCUGGACUCAGACAGCCUGAAUUCAAAUCCCAUCUCUAUUCUUACUAGUCAUAUGAACACAGGAGAACCAUAUCCAUUCAGCUCACUUUGGACCACCUGUGGAGCCUGAUAACCAGGGAACAGAGAACCUGUUGAGAUCCAAAUUUGUGUGCCAGAUCACAAACUCAUCUGAAGCAGAUGCCACGUGUUACACUGUUAUGUCUCUCAGAGACUCCAGCACUUUGAAAGUAUUAGGCCUUGCUUAUUGAGAUGAAUAUUUUUUUCUAGGCAUGUCCCAAAGUUCUCAGCAUAGCUACAACCCUGAUUUUCACAGGAUUUUCAUUAAAAUUAGGUUCUAGAGCAUUACUUCCCUAAUGUGCAAUGCAACUUACGUUUAGUUUUCAAAUCAAAAUUAGUUUUGUUUUUCCACUGUCUUUGUCUUUGAAAAUAUUGAACUUGGGAUUUCCAAAAUUAUAAUUAGCAAUUAUUUUUACAUAUCUUUUAUAUACAUAACUUUUACAAUGGCUGCCAUUAUCAUGUAGGUUCUUAGGAAGUGUUUCUGAUCCUUGUAAAUAAAAGUGAAAGAAGAAAUCUUUACUGCUUGCUGACCCAUGUGACUAACCUUGAAAUCAGAGAGGCAGAUUCAUUUAAAACAAACUUGCAAACUGUUAAGCAAAGUACUGAAUCUCUGUGACUUGACCAAAAGUAAUUCAGACUUGACUAUUCCAGGCUCCCUUCUAUCUCUGUAGCAACCCAUGCAUCAUAGACUCCAGUUGCAAUGGAUGGUCAAGGAAUCUGCUGUGCCUUUUGAGUCUCUCCAUUUUAUAUUGCCAAAUUUAUCUUCCUUUAAUACUUCACUUCACAUAAGACACUAAGAUAAACAAGGAUGCAACUCACUUAUAUUUCAAAAUAGUACCUAGUGGUUAAAAGUACUUGUUCUGAAAGCAACUCUAUUUUUCUAGUUCUAACAUGUCUCCAACUAGUUAUCUCACCUUGAGCUUGGCACAUAAUCACUCCAUCUUACUUUUGCAUCUGUGACACAAGAAAAAUACCACCCACCUCAACAUAGAUCUUAUGAAGAUUAAAAUAAGAUUAUGAAAGUAAAAUGCUCAGCACAAUGUCUAAACGAAAAUAAAUGCUCAGCAAGUAGGAGCUACUAUAAUUAUUAUCCAGAUCAAAUAUUUUCUCCUCUAUGAAGCUUUCUUAUUCUUCCCCAGCUGGAAUUACUUAUUUUCUUCCUUGCUUUCUACACCACACUUUAGUCACCACCAUGCUGGCACUUGUCUCACCGCAUUAUAAUUAUUUAUGUGCCUGUGUUCCAUAACCAGAAUAUGGGACUUAAGCUUCUUUAUACCUCCAGCAUAAUUGUUUCAUGUGUGCUUUUAGGUAAUGGAGUAAAAUGGAUGAAUGAGUGAAUGCGACUAUAGUACUAAAUGCUCUUAGAUAAAGAUGUAAUUAUUCUUAAGUGAUAAAAUUAUUCGAACAUGAGUAGUUCAGAUAAUGAGAGACUGUCAUAGAAUUACUUGAUAAAAUCUAGUCAAUAAAAUGGCUUGGCAAUAUAACCUUUAUGAUUUCUUUAAACAAUCAUUCAUUUCUUUCUGAAGAUGAGAAGAGGAGAUUCCUUCUCCCAUCUUUAUAUUUCAACAAUGAUUAGAAAACAAAUUGAUCUCUGGGAUCAGUGCCCAAUACCAUUAAAGUGGUAUACAUCUUACAAUUCUUAAUUAAUUUGUGGCAUACAUAUACCAGUCUCCACAGCCAGCUUCAUCUGCAUACAGCAGCAUAAUCACUUUUUUCCUUAUAGUAAAGACAUAUUAUGAGUCAUCAAAGUCUUCUCCGGGGGUUGUGGUUAUCAUCUGGUAAUCACACCCUUGGGAGGUUAAAAACACUUAUCUUUGGAUCAUGACUUGCAAUGCCCCAGGGGUGUGAUUAUCUCAGGCAACUCACACUUUCUGUCAUGCCUAAUUGCUUAAUUAUUAUAGCUGCAAGUUCACACCACCAUACAGGAACUCAUGUUGUGUCAGCAUUUCCACUAUAAAUUCCUUUUUCAAGAGUCUAUAACUCAGCCAUAAAAAAAAAAAAAAAAAAAACCUAUGGUCCAUUGAAGCACUGCAGUAAGAGUCUUAUUCCAGGAAACAUUUCUGUAAUAGGUUAAUUGUAUCUUAAAAAUUGGGUCCUGAUUCUCAUAGUUAGUUCACCAAAGAAAUAAAUGCUAAUUAAAUGUCUCUAAAUUAUAUAUUUUUCUGUAUGGCUGGGUAAAUAAUGUAAAUCCUAAAGACAUAAAUAUUAUUUUUUAAAUAUAACAAGAAUGGCUCAUACAAUUUCCAGUUUUUUGGAAAUACACUUACACAUAUUUAUAAAAUAUUAUAUAAGUAGAAUGAGCUAAACCAUAGUUAGAGAACAUUGUCAUAUGCAAUCAUGUACUACAUAAUAUUUCAGUCAGUGGACAGCAUGUGGCAGUGGUCACAUAAGAUUAUAACGCAGCUGAAAAAUUCCUGUUGUCUAAUGACAUCAUGGCUGUCAUAACUGUCAUGGCCGUCAUGGCCAUCUGAACAUUGUAGUACAAUGUAUUCCUCAUGUGUUUGUGGUGAUGCUGAUGUAAACAAGCAUCUGCACUGCCAGUUGUAUAAAAGUGUAGCACAUACAAUUAUGUACAUACAAUUAUGCACACACAAUUAUGUACAACACAUAAUAUUUUAUAAUGACAAUAAACAAUUUUGUUACCGGUUUAUGUAUUCACUGUACUAUACCUUUCAUCAUUAUUUUAGAGUGUACUCUUUCUACUUAUAUAUAAAAAAAAGUUAAUUGUAAAACAGCCUCUAGCAGGUCCUUCAGGACAUAUUCCAGAAGAAGGCAUUGUUAUCAUAGGAGAUGACGGUUCCAUGCGUGUUAUUGCCCCUGAAGACCUUCCAGUGGGUCAAGAUAUGGAGGUGAAAGACAGUGAUAUUGAUGAUCCUGACCCUGCGUAGGCCAAGUUUUCUUGACUUCACUUAAUCUGCUGGAAGCUGAUCCUUUUCAUGUCCAUGUUUAAGGAAGCGUUGAAGGUCACGUCACUCAAAGCCAACAUCAGCAGGCAUCCUACCAAGAUAAUCUCUGAAGAGGUCAGAGGCUAUGACGCCUGCAUUGAACUUUUUCUACUUUGAAGACUACUGUGAACUGAAUUGUAUCACACCCACCCUUUCCCAGAGUCCCCGAGAAUUCACAUGUUGAAGCCGUUACCCACCAUGUGACUGUUUUGGGAGACAGAGCCUUAAAAGAGGCACAAUUAUUACAAUUUAUUGUGGACAGGAAAACACAUGGAUGUUGAAUACCAGUUCCUGUGAAAGAUACUUGGGUUUCGGGAUAACAACAGUCCCAAGUCUUCAGAACAAAUCAACAGAAUUCAAUCAAGUAUUUCCUUGCACUUACUUGUUAUGACUUCUUAGUCUCUCCAGUCUGUGACAGUUACUCAUUUUCUCCCUGAUACAAGGACUACAACACUUUGGAAGGUGCUUGUCAGAAAUUUAUUCUCCUUAUAUACAUUCCUACACACAUGUGGAUGCUUUUAUUGAAACCAGUUCAUAGGUAUGUUUGUAUAAUCUUUAUACACAUAAAAUAUAUUUUUUUC